GGAUGUGAGGGCAAUCUGACUGCGACAUCUGCCACCCAUUGAUCACCAGGGAUGAUUUGGUUGAUCUGGCUGGCUAGGCGGGUGUCCCCUUCCACCCUCACUGCUCCAUGUGUGUCCCUGCUGAAGCCGCACACUUGGUCGAAGAGGACAACCAUCCCCAGUAGAGGAGGACCAGUCUUCAGUCAAGGGUAUACGAAUAGCUGCGCUCCCCUGCUAGAACCUCCAAAGAAAUAGGAUAGGAUUUUGUGAUGGUUAUGUACCAUCUCUUGACCAUAAAAAGUCCUACUCUCUACAUGCUGUAUUAUU
rnacentral:snRNA from 10 species